GCUGCUAUAAAUUUCAUACAUACAUAUGUAUACUGCCGAACAAAAUAUUUUUAAAUAUUUUAAACAUCGUUUCCGAUUAUUGAUUUUACGAUUCGUAUGGAAUUUUAGCUAAGCGUUUUAAUGCAUUAUACUACGUUUGGACCACAAUUGGAAAACACAAUUUGUGGAUUGUGGAACCAAAGUCGUUUUGACGGAAUUUUUUUUUCAUUGACAAUUCACAAAUUUAUUUGUUUAUUUACAUUUUGAGCAACGAAAAUGGUAAGUUUAAGAAUCUUUAAUAUUUGCUUCUAAUUAUUAAUAAUUUCGUGUUUUAUAGAAUCACGACAAGAAAUUUUAAUAAUAAAGGUAUUGGCUUUGAAAAGCCAGAUAAAUAACUUGCGCAACAAUGAGUCUUCAAUUGAUAGAGACUCUUACUACCCAGCAUGCCUUGCAAUAAAGAUAGAAGAGUUGAACAAACAACGUUUAAUCCUAUCUGUGUUUUUUAAAGAAAACUUCGAAUGAACCAAACUUCAUUUAAUAAAUUAUGCGACAUCCUUCGGCCUCUACAAAAAAUUGAUACGAACUACCGAAAAUCUAUUACGCUCGAGAAAAGAGUGGCUAAAGCAAUAUUUGCUUAAGGCUCAUCUGCGGAGUAUCUUAGUAUCGCAAAUAUGUUCGGGGUAGGAAAAUCUACGGUUUGUGAAAUUUUGGUGGAAUCCUGCACUGAAAUCUGGAGACUACUACAACCAUCCUGUUUAAAAAAGUUUCCACUAAAUAGAGAAAGCAAAACAUAAUCGGUGACUGAUUUCUAGGAGCAAUUGGGAAAUAUUAGCAAUAAAUUUAUAACGAUGAUGUUAACAGACGGAUGCCACAUUGAUGUUCACUCAUCAUCUGAACAAGUUGUGGAUUAUUACAAUUACAGAGGGUGAUAUUCCACCGUUUUAAUGACAUUACUUGAUGCAAAAUACCGUUUUAUUUACAUAAACGUCGGAAGUCCCGGGCGAUGGAAUGACCCUCAAAUUUAUGAGAUAUCGCCACUUAAGAUAGAAAUGGAGAAUUGUGCUUUACUAAGUGAAAUGUCUCGAGAAAUUUCAGGCGUAAAUGUGCCUGUAUUUAUUAUUGGGGAUUCGCUUUUUCGAUUUAGCAAACAAUUGAUGAAACCAUAUCCAUUUAGCGUAAAACAAAUUCAUCGCGAUAAGGUAUUCAACUACGCUCUUUCGAAAGCACGUAGAUUUGUCGAAAAUGCUUUUGGAAACCUCAAGGCCUGCAUUCGACGAAUUGGAAAAGGAAUUGACAACUCUCUCAGGAAUGCCAACUCAAAAAUAAAAGCCUUUUGUGUCCUUCACAACUUUCUAAAUGAAAACAAUGAUACUCUCAACGCUAAAUGGUUACGCGCUUUUUAAGUGUUGGAGACUAAACGCCAAAAUCCGAGUGUGUUUCAUAUGCAUCUGACGAUCCAAUUAAUGGAGAAAUGAUACGGACAGCACUUUCUACAUAUUUAGCACCGUUAGCACCAAACAGUAUAACAGUCACUUUUGCUGACGACACUGUAACAAUACUAUGUGUCGAAAAAACAUCUGAAAAAGCUGCACUAAAUCUGCAACAUGCAAUUAACUAUGUGGUAAAUUGGACUAAAAAAUGGAGAAUAAAACUAAACGGUGGCAAGUCGGUUCACGUAAAUUUUACAAACAAAAGAAUCACUUAUCAACCCAUAAGUAUUCUAUGUGUCUGCAUACCAUAUGCAAAUACAGCCAAAUAUUUUGGUAUUACUCUCGAUGGCAAAUUACGCUGGAAAGAACAUAUUAAAAUAGAAAAUAUUGAACUUAACUUGAAAUUAUCAAAAAAUGAAGUGGCCUGUCCAUACACAACAAACUACUUAUAUAUAACCAAAUAAUCAAGCCAGUAUGGUCAUAUGGUGCGCAACUGUGGGGAUGUGCCAAUGAUAGCAGUAUUAAUAUUAUACAACGGUUUCAGAAAAAUGUGCUAUUUUAAAUGCUCCUUGGUACAGCAGAAAUGCUGAUAUUCAUAGAGACCUAAAGAUGAAUACAGUCGCCGACGAAAUAAGGCAGAUGCCCAUUACAAAAGGCUUAAUGAACAUGUUAACGAGGAGGCGAGAAAUCUCCUCUUAGACACAUACAACAAAAAUAGCUGAUCGUUUAUCAAAAGCGGACAGAGCGAAAGGCAAAAACUGUUUUCUCAAUUAUAAUAUUCAUGUAUCAAUUAAUUUGGCUGUGCGAAGAGGCUAUCAUGCGUUCGGACACACCAUUUAACUGGGGAGUACGUGGAAUACUUAAAUGAUAGGUUAUACCUUUUUCCACACAGUACUCACGCAUGUCAUUAGAUAAAUAUUCUCCUGCGUUAUCGAUAUACAAGUUUACAACCUUUAAAUUGAAUGGGAUUUCAAUUUUAGGAAAAAAGUCUAUAAAAUCUGUAACUAUAAAUAUGUCAUACAAUAGUGAGUAAACUAAUCAAUGGACAUUAUGAUAAGUUUUGCCAUCUAUCAAAGUGGGUAUAAAAUCUAUAAAAUAUCUCUUCGCAGUAUAAAAUAUUUUCCAGAGUAAUUUUCGCCCCUUCAAUAAUAUGUAAUUGUACAAAUUUUUAUAUUAGUUCAUAUGAUCAAAAGCCCCGGAAUCAAGAUUAUAAAAGCGAAACAACCUUUUGGUUAGGAAGUAGCAAAAAACUACACCAAAAUAUACAAUAGCACGAGAGUGUUGUUGUGUUGGGAGUAGGUUAGGUUUAGCGGAUUAAAGUUCCGCACUUCGGCUUUCGAUGCUUUCCCCUACUAUAAAAAAAAAACCCAUAUCAGAAAACAAAAUAUUGACGAAAUGUAUGUGUGGCACAGGGUUGCAAUUAUUUUGCUACGACUCAUUGCAUGAAAGUAAACAUGAAGGCUGUUCAAAUAUCAUUGAACAUGCAUUCUUUUAUGCCUUAGCAAAUCCGAUAUGUAGCUCAUAUAAAACAUAAAUUUGUAUACAUAAAUAAACACAUAAACAUAUAUGCAUUAAUAUGCAACAAGCAUACAUUAUAUGUUGCACGCAUACAUGCAACACACAUACAUUUAUAUGAGGCACGCAUGCAUAUAUAUGCAACACGCAUGCACUCAACUAUUAAUAAACAAACAUAUUUAUAUGUAUGCACAAGAUAACCUAUUGGUUAUAAAAAUACAUUGGGGCAAUUGCUUGUGUGCAUUUGAAAUAACCCCUUAUCGUGCAACAUAUAAAAUAUAGAUAUAGACAUACACACAUACAUAUAUAAUUAGUUCUUAAGGUAAUUCUAAAAUUUGUAUAUAAGUAAGUAAAAAACCAAAAUAAAACUAGAAUGAAAUAAUUUCUCAAUAAGGCUAGACUAUCACUUAUUUUCCCCCACCAGCGGUAAGAAAUAUUUGAUACAGCUAGUUUUAACAUUUGAGAAUGAAUUAAAUUCUCACUCAAUGCAAGUCUAUCAUUGCCCCCCACCAGCGGUAAGGUUUGUUAAAAACUACAUUGUUUUGUAAAAAUUGGUAGGCCGGAUGUUUUUUAUAUUGGUCCUAUCGAGCCUAUGAAAGAGCUCAGCCAAAACAAAAGCCCUGAAUUUAAUACAGGCAAAAUAUAAGCCUUGUUAGUCAUACAGGCAAUAUAAAAAGUCCUGUUAUUUAUACAGGCACCAUAAAAAGCCCUGUUAGUUAGACAGGCAAAAUAAAAAGCCCUGUUAUUUACACAGGCAAGAUAAAAAGACCUGUUAUUUACACAGGCAAUAUUAAAGCCCUGUUUAUAAUUCAGGCAAAAUAAAAUAAUAAUUGUAAGACGGGUGCAUAUUCCCGCAUAUUAACAAUAUAAAAACAACAAUUUUUGUCGCGAGAAUAUAAAAAUAAGGUUCUCCAAAAUGUGGAAGACUGAACCUAAAUACCAAUAUCUGGAUCGAAAAACGUCCAUGAUCAUGAGGAAAAUUGAAACCUUCAAAAAUAAAAUGGAAAAUCUAAGUUAAGAAUUAACGAUAAAGAAUUAUCAACUAAGCUAUUUGCAAUCAUUAUACAAUGAUAUUCAGAAGAUGAAAAACAAAUUAGAUUUCAAUGAAGAAAUUGAAAUCAUAUAUGACCAAAUAGGUGAUGAAUUUUUUCAAGAGCUUUGUUAUUUUAAUCGACAAUUACAACAAGAAGAGCCAAAAAAUACUUUUCGAAGUAAUUUGGAUAAAGAAGAAUUUAUAAUAAUUCCAAAAUUCUCUUCAUCUACCACAACAAAGCUGGUUAAAACAAAACCAAUACAAAAAAUACAAAGAGGAAUUGAUAAAUAUUCCAAAUUUAAAAAAUAAAUUAAACCUAUCUCCAAACCUAUCUUCUGAAGUUGAACGAACUAAAUUUGUUAAAACAAGUGAUUCAGAAGAAGAAGAAUUUAUAAUCGUUCCAAAUCUCAAUCUAUUUUCUAAAACUAAGAAGAGACCAACUAAAUUAGUUGAAGAUAAGAAAGUAGAAGAAUAAGAUUUUAUAAUAAUUCCAAAAUUCUCUCUAUCUUCUGCAAAUGAAUUAGUUAGAAAUAUUAAAGUAGAAGAAGAAGAAGAGAAAGAAAGGAACGAAAACAAAAUUACAGAAUUACAAGAAGAAGCAAAUAAAACUGGAAAAGAAGAGACACCUGAACACCCUACUUCUGAGGAAAAAUCAACUGAAGUGGUUGAAACCUCAGAUGUAGACAUUCAUAAAAUUAAAGCUGAAACUGGAGAUCAAGAAGUCGAGAGCAAUAUUCUCGCCAAUGAGCAAAUAACCUGGCAUUUUUCUCCUCCGGCAGACCCACAUUUUGGAGAAAUGUGGGAAGCUGGCGUUACCGAUCAAACAUGCAAACUUUCAACGUUAUUAAAAUGCGGGGACACCAACUACUACAACAUUCGAAGACAUCACUUCAAUCGACAUACAAAUAUAUAAAAUGCAAAGCGACAUCAAUCCGAAGCUGGACCCGAUCGUGAAAACCAUAAAGGAAAUUGCAGAAGACCAACUAACUUUUCUUCAAAUAAGUAAAAUAUACGACAAAGAAGAGCAGAGAAAUCUGCGAGAAGGCCUUGAGAAGAUCAGCAACAACGUACUAAAAUUAAUAUUAUUCAAUAUUUAUAAAAUUUAUACAGUCCACUAAUAUUAAAUAAUAAUUUCUUUCCCUCGGCAAUAUGUUUAAAUAUCAUUGAACAUGCAUUCUUUUAUGCCUUAGCAAAUCCGAGGAGCUACAUAUAAAACAUAAAUUUGUAUACAUAAAUAAACACAUAAACAUAUAUGCAUUAAUAUGCAACAAGCAUACAUUAUAUGUUGCACGCAUACAUGCAACACACCUACAUUUAUAUGAGGCUCGCAAAUUAAUUUAUUGACCUUAUGUAAAAGGUUUUUAACAAAUAAAAAACGAGUAUUUAGUCAAGCGACCGAAAA